rnacentral:rRNA from 1 species
UCCUACGGGAGGCAGCAGUGGGGGAUAUUGCGCAAUGGGGGAAACCCUGACGCAGCAACGCCGCGUGGAUGAAGACGGUUUUCGGAUUGUAAAGUCCUUUUCUUGGGGACGAAAACUGACGGUACCCAAGGAAUAAGCUCCGGCUAACUACGUGCCAGCAGCCGCGGUAAUACGUAGGGAGCAAGCGUUAUCCGGAUUUACUGGGUGUAAAGGGUGCGUAGGCGGCCCUGUAAGUCAGAUGUGAAAUUUAGAGGCUCAACUUCUAAACUGCAUUUGAAACUAUAGGGCUUGAGUGAAGUAGAGGCAGGCGGAAUUCCCUGUGUAGCGGUGAAAUGCGUAGAGAUAGGGAGGAACACCAGUGGCGAAGGCGGCCUGCUGGGCUUUAACUGACGCCGAGGCACGAAAGCGUGGGUAGCAAACAGGAUUAGAUACCCUGGUAGUCC